rnacentral:lncRNA from 15 species
AUGUUUUAUAACCUUUGUUUUAUCAAAGGAGGUGAAAGUUUCAGCUGUUUGGUUCAAAGUUUCUGUGGAGUUUGGUGGAUAGAAAUAAAACGCUGGGUUAGAUACUUCAUUUGGAGUUUUAUUCAGGAGGGUCGAAGCUCUAAUGUGAAUGUCAAGUCAAGAAAUCGGUUCAAUCCUUCCAGGAAGUUGAGCAAAAACCUAAAAACAUCACAACAAGCAUCAAAAUCUUUUCAGAAAAGCUGUGAAAUCCUGGAGGGACUGAAAAUGUAACUUUAGUUUAAAAAAAGAGUCUCUGGUUGACCUUUUCCACCAACAGGGACUUUGUGCAUCCAUUCAGCAGUUUUCAAUAUUCAGUGUCUCACACACAUUUCAGCCCCUAAUCAUCAGAAUUAGAUCCCCUGAACGCUGAUAGAAGAUAAUAUUGACAUAUUGUCCUCACAAACCCUAACAUAAGCUGUAUUAGAUGCACUUUAUGAUUAAACCCACUGUGAGUUUAAGCCUUUUCCUACGACACUGGAUCUUCUAAAUAAUUCCAAAUGUUCCCGUUUUUGCAGAUAAGCCAUCUUCUCUCCGCGAUUACCAACGGAAACUUUGACUUUUUGUUUCCUGGCCGGAUAGUUCCUGCCUGCUGAAAGACGUCCAACUCUGAAACUCUACUACUUUUAAAGUCACUUUGUCACCAUAAAGCAGUUUUAAUGUUUCUGACUCUGUAUCAGCUGUUGUAAAGUGGGGGAGACGAAGGGAGGGAGGGAGGAAGGGAGGGAAAAAGGGGAAUUAAAAUGGUUUAAAUGGGUGCGUUAAAACACAGCCGCAGCCUGAGAACGAGGACAGUCGGCCGUUAAUAAAGUUGAUAUGUUAGUUCAUCACUGUAAAACUUUACAACUCUUUGAAUGUUUAUCAUUUUUUAUAAUAACCAGCUCAGAGUGUGUGUGUGUGUGUGUGUGUGUGUGUGUGUGUAUGUGUGUUUUAUUACAUUACUGUUAUCACUUUUAUAAUGGCUAUAGCCUUGUCUGAGUGUGAGUGUGAGUGUGUGUGUGUGUGUUUCCUUACAUGGCCAAACCGACCUACCACGAGGGUGUAAUAGAAUAAAAGCUAAUCUGUGUGUGUGUGUGUGCAAAUCUGCAAUAAUAAUAUAUUCUGGGAGAUUCAGUGUGUGUGUUUAUGAAAGGAAAGAGGUGUGUGUGUGUGUGUCCACUGUGACCCAGUGUAAACUAAUAUUGAUUCAGCUGUUGGUGUUAUACACUAGUCAUAAAACUGGACUUAUUGUAGGAUCCAGGCUUACCGUCUGACUCUCUCUCUGUGUGUGUGUGUGUGUGUGUGUGUGUGUGUGUGUGUGUGUGUGUGUGUGUGUGUGUGUGUUGGGGUAUUGGAUUUAGACCAUGUGCGGUUCAACUUGAAAAACCCCUGUUUACGUGUCAAACAGGGUUUGUUCGCACUAAACGUUUCACGCUGAAAAUCGAUUAAAAUUAAAAACAAAAAAUGUCCAAACGGUGCGUUGCUGCCCCCUUUGGUGAGAAAUGUGGUUGCCUGAACUCUUUGUUCUCACCAGUGUUGGAUAAGUUACUGUAGGAAUAGUAAUUAUUUAAAGUUACUGGUUAAUAAGUGAAUUACUUUAUUAAUUACUGCAGAUAAAAGUAAUUAGUUUCUGGUCUCUUUACAGAUGUAUGUAGUUAUUAGUCCUCCCGACCACCAGGGGGCAACGAUGAGUAGCAUCCCUGCUUGUAAGCUGCACUAAAUUCCACUGGACGCCGUUUUGCGUUCUUUUUUUAAAGGACAAAAUACACAAACAACAAGCUCUGGAGACGCUCUUUCUCUGGGAUUUGAAGAGGUUGAGUUUUAGGGUAAUUGUCUUGGUUAGUAAACGGGAGGAUUCAGUAGAAGAAAGUCCCACUCGGAUAUAAACGUUAGUUAGUUAAUCAAUAAUUAUAUUUGAUGAGCUGCAGAUCAACAGGAAGUUUGUCUGCUUUCUUCUGCAGUCCUUUUCAUGUGAGACAAAAGUAACGACCCCAUUUACAUUAAUGUAAUUGUAAUAACUAAUUACCCCCGAAAGUUGUGGAAUAGUACGAAAAUAUCUAAAGAUAUCGCGAUGUUUUGUUUUUUGUUAUUGUAUCGAUUCUUUAUAACACUUUACUGUAACAGAUUACUCGGGCUGCCCCAAAAAAAUAAAGCCGAUAGUCGACCCAUCGUCGAACAUUAAUAAUUAUUAAAAAAUUUAACAGCCGACUGUUAAAUGCUAAAAAAAAAAAGCGACUGAACAUUUAGUUCAUUUAUUAAAGUAUCGUUGUUCAAAAACACGGAAUAAUUAACUUCGAACUCCCCCCCCCCCCCCCGACAGAGUGUGUGUGUGUGUGUGUGUGUGUGUGUGUGUGUGUGUGUGUGUGUGUGUGUGUGUGUAACAAGAAAAUUAUUUGCGACUUUACAGAGAAAAACUUUUUGUUUUCAUUUUCCUGUCCGAGGAUUUACGGACAGUCGGGAGCGUUUUUUCCCCCUAAAGCUCCAUUUGUUAGCGAGGAAGAGAAAGUGAGACGCUUUGUCUUUUGGUGUCCUUGUAUAUGUGUGUGUGUGUGUGUGUGUGUGUGUGUGUGUGUGUGUAUCUACAUGUGUGUGUGAUGUAUGGGGACGGUGAGUAAUACUGUAUGUGUCAUUCUGAGUCCCAAGAGUUUUCUCCUUCUCUUCUUCCUCUCGUACACUCUCUCUCUCUCCUCACGUCCUUCCUCACUCGCUCCCCACCCAUCUGUCUUCUCUCUCUCUCUUUCUUUAUUUCUUCAUCUCUCU